UUUAAAUCCCUCCUGUACUA
rnacentral:tRNA from 1 species